UAAAAACAAACAGGACAAACAUAAGCGUAUUUUUCAAGAAAUCUCUGCUCUUCACUGUUCCCCACAUCCAUACAUCAAAAUCUAUCCGAGUGAAAAUAGGUUUGAUUUUGGAAAAUCCUUCUGAUGGGUCCACCUGACACGCCUUAUGAAAAUGGUGUUUUCCUCCUUUAUUGCCAAUUUCCUCCAGAGUACCCAGUCAAGCCUCCAGAAAUGAGAUUUUUCACAUCUAUAUAUCACUGCAAUGUAAACAGUGCUGGGCAUUUGCCACAAUAUUUUUGACAGAGGCUAUACUGCUCAUAUAACAAUGAAACAAAUACUUGAAGCUGUGUAUGGAUUGUUGAUUGCUCCUGAGCCUGAUGAUCCUCUGGACAGCAUUUUGGCAGAGGAAUAUUUAACUAGUAGGGGAAAAUACCUGGAAGAAGCCAGGAAGAAAACUGCUGAACAUGCAAGUACAUCAUUUCAAGAAAUGGAAAAUAGGGUGCUUGGUUUAAAUACAGUUGAGGAUCCUACACCUAAACCAAUGGUUUGUCCGCUGUCAAAGCAGUUGUUCAUUGAUCCAGUUCAAACUCCAGGGGUGAUAUAUAUGAGCGCAAAGAUAUUGAACUUCACUUGAAAAGGAAUAAUACAGAUCCUGUUACUAAUAAACCUCUUCAUAAUCGGGAUCUCAAACCUUGCCUGAAAUGAAGAAAAUGGUGGAACAUUUUAGAAAGAAGCAGAUUCAAGAAACUUCACUUUAAAAUGUGCAUGCUUCCUUCUCAAGAGUCUCAGAAGUUACUGCCAGCAAAUGAAAAUGUUACUUUGAUUAUUUUCAUUUUUGACUAUCGAAGAAGUAAAUGUCCUUUUUCUGCAUUCUCCUUAGUGCAUCACUUCAUACUGUGUCUUAAAAAUCUCCCUAAUAGCAAUUAUGGUAUAUGUUAAGUAACCAGUUUGUAAGGUACACCUGUCUACUACUACAUUCAACCCCUGUUUAGCUCCAGAACAGCCUGAGUUCUUUGAAAUUAUCAAUCUGGAAAGUAGUCACUAGGGAUUUUGUCCAUGCUAACGUUAUCACACAGUUCCUGCACACACAUUCAUGUUUCCUGUUGUACCUCUUCCCAGGAGCUCUGGUGAACUGAUAAAUUAGUACUGUAUAGGUCAUUGGGAGUAAACUGAAGUCACUAUCAUGUCUGUGGAACCAGUUUGAGGUUCUUUAUAACAUGGCACAUUAUCCUGAUGGAAGUAUACAUUUCAAAAAGGGAAGGCUGUGGCCAUAAAGUGAUACAUGUACUCAACAAUGCACAUUCUUUGGCACUCAAAUUAUACUGUCAACAUCAGCCUGUGUUGAUGGAUCCCUGAAUCUAUCUUGCUGUUUACACAACAUUCUGAUCCUACUAUCAGUUUGUAGGUGCAGGAAUUGAGAUUUGUCAAAAUAGGCAACAUUUUUCCAAUUUUAGUUGGUCCAGUCCAGGUUUGGUGGUCAUACAUCUAGUGCAACAUUAAUCUUCCUGUCCUCAGCUGACAGGAUUGAACCCAGUAGUUUUAUUCUUCCGUAGUUCAGCCAUUUAAGAGUUCAACCUGGUAUGCAUCCAGUGAUGUUCUUCUGCACACCAUUGUUAUUUGGGUUAUUUCUGGCUUUCUGUUAGCUUGAAAAAGUCUGGUUGUUCUCUUCUGACUUUACUCAUUACCAAGGUGUUUUCACCUGUAGGACUGUGGUUCACUCAAUGUGUAUCAUUUUUGCACCUUUCUUUAUGAACUCUAUAGGUUUUAGUGCAAAAACAUCCAUGGACAACUGUUUUAAGAUGCAAAACCACCUUCUUUGUUGCUAAAAAUAUGACAGUCAAAGUGGUUUAUAUCACAUUUAUCAACACUUAUAAUUUUUGGUCAAACAACAAGUAAACCUCUUGACCAGGUCCACUGUAGUAUUUACAUAUUUCUAUACAUGUAUAUCUGACUUAUUUUGGGUUUUUAUAAAUACAGAAUCUGUUAUUAGGUUUGCAUUUUGAGGUGAAAUUAAAACACAUUUUUAUUACUGUCUCGAUAAUCAUGAUUUAUGCGACACAUCUGAUUGAUCAGUCUCACAUGUAACAUCAUGGGAUAUGACAUAAAUAUUCCAACAUUCACACAUUCAGUUAUCGCUCAGUGGAUGCAAAAUCUCUUGUUCUGUUUAGUGCUAGUUAUUUUUAACUCAGGUAGCCCUAUUGUUAGGAUUGUUUCUCUGCUUUUGAACCCUCCAACUAGUUUCACUACAACUUUGUUUUGCUCGGUUGUUCAGGUUACUAACUUUUAUGUUGUCUCCUGGUACUUUGACCCUAGUAAUUCCUUUUAACUUUGAUUCUCCACUUGUAGAUCACAUCCAGGUCCUUUUCACUUAAAACAACCUUUGGACAUUUUGCAUGUCCGUAACAGUAUAUUUUCACAUAUAGUGUGUCUAUAUAGAUGUAAGGUAUUUGCAUUAACAAACAGGUGUACCUCAUAAAGUGGCCACUGAAUGUAUGAGCUAGACGUUAACUAAGCAUAUAUAAAUAUGAUCAAUUAUCUUUGUUAUAUCUUUCUUUUAAAUGAUAUUUUUCUAUACAAGGUCCAAAUUAAUACUGUUUACAAUUACUGGAGACUUUAAAUUGCCAUUGGGUAGUAUAAUAAUGUAUCCAUAAUCCAUAUAUUUGACUAUUCUUUCAAUCAAGAUGAUUGCAGUUAAUAUUGUGAUGCACUUUUGAGUUUGGUUUAAAUAUAUUGCUUUAAGAAUGAGGAUUUCUAGUUGAUUAGCAUAUUAAUUAUGUGUCCUUUUACUUAUGAAAGUAGCAAUUACCAUAUUAUGUUUCAAAAUGUUGUCGCUUCUCGGCCUUUUGGCUAAGAUCAAGUGUAGUAUCUGUUCUUAUCAG